GCGAUUCCUUCAGAAGAUUUUGAACAGUGAGCGUAUGAGCGUAGUUUUUUCAUUCCUUGGAACUGUGUCGAUAGAACAUUCCUUCCCAUCAAACGGUGCCAUAAAAGAGCACCGUAAUAAUCAGGAUUUGGAUGAAAGGUUGUGGUAUUGAGGAGACCGUAGUUGCCACCAACCAAUGUUUGUCGACAAUAUGUCUUAGUAUCGAACGUGGCUGACAUCCCCAUCUGAUCCAAGUACCAAAAGCCGGACACAAAGCUAUUCGAAACAAGAUUGCGA
rnacentral:misc_RNA from 1 species